rnacentral:rRNA from 1 species
UAACGGCGAGUGAAGCGGCAACAGCUCAAAUUUGAAAUCUGGCGCAAGCCCGAGUUGUAAUUUGUAGAGGAUGCUUCUGGGCAGCGGCCGUUCUAAGUUCCUUGGAACAGGACGUCAUAGAGGGUGAGAAUCCCGUAUGUGACCGGCACGUACCCUCCACGUAGCUCCUUCGACGAGUCGAGUUGUUUGGGAAUGCAGCUCUAAAUGGGAGGUAAAUUCCUUCUAAAGCUAAAUACCGGCCAGAGACCGAUAGCGCACAAGUAGAGUGAUCGAAAGAUGAAAAGCACUUUGGAAAGAGAGUUAAAAAGCACGUGAAAUUGUUGAAAGGGAAGCGCUUACAACCAGACUUUGUGGCGGCGUUCCGCCGGUCUUCUGACCGGUCCAUUCGCCGCCGCGAGGCCAGCAUCGUCUGGGGCCGCCGGAUAAGACCUGAGGAAUGUAGCUUGCCUCGGUAAGUGUUAUAGCCUCGGGUGAUGCGGCGUGUCCCGGGCGAGGUCCGCGCUCCGGCAAGGAUGCUGGCGUAAUGGUUGUCAGCGGCCCGUCUUGAAACACGGACCAAGGAGUCUAACAUCUAUGCGAGUGUUCGGGUGUCAAACCCCUACGCGUAAUGAAAGUGAACGGAGGUGGGAAGCGCAAGCCGCACCAUCGACCGAUCCUGAUGUCUUCGGAUGGAUUUGAGUAAGAGCAUGGCUGUUGGGACCCGAAAGAUGGUGAACUAUGCCUGAAUAGGGUGAAGCCAGAGGAAACUCUGGUGGAGGCUCGCAGCGGUUCUGACGUGCAAAUCGAUCGUCAAAUUUGG